rnacentral:lncRNA from 1 species
GAAGAUAGUUCCUGAACUGGAAACAUGCAUCUUGACUAGCCAAGUACUUUGAAGGCACUCCAUGCUGGAUUAAUGAUUCUGACCAGAGCCGAGUUCUCAACUGAGAUGAUAAAUCUGGGUCAGGACCACACCACUUAAGACUGCAGGCAGAAUUCAUGUGACUGAAUACUUGAUUAUACAAAAGAUGCCCUCCACGUUGACAACUAGAUGCCAGGACAAAAGGUGAUAGCCUAACACUCUCCUUGAGAUGACAAGUGUGCAUGUGUGUAUGGGCAAGGACAGCUUUUUUAAAUGAAGUCAUGUGUGUCUCCCACUUGCGGUCUGAAGUGGUACAGCCCAGACAAAGGUUUACCACCUCCAGUUGAUUGAACAAUGAAGCAGAAUAACUCACUCAAAUGAAUGGAAAGCCUGCUCAAGAGGACUCCUUUAACGUUCUCAGGUUCUGAGACCUGAGGUGGUGUCCCUGCUCCCUCUGCUGGCCACCAGACCUUUGCCUGAUUCUUGGGUGCAGGGACUUUCUGGAGAAUGCCAUGGGCUUUAGUUUAGGAUUCCAAGCAUUCUUUCCAGACUGCCUAUGCCAACUUCCUCUUUUUGUUUCUUCAUAGCCUUUUGAGGAGAUGUGUUUGUAUGUACUGCUAUAGAUGCACAUUAUUCUGUGGGCACCACUUUAUGUACCUUGGUGGAAAAGCAGAAUACAACUUUAAAAAUAAAUAUCUACAUUUAUUUUUAUCUUGCCAUCUUUGUGUCAUAGAGUCCUCAAGGAGGUUUGCAUAUAAAUGAAAACAAUAAUAAUAUAAUUAAAACCCUGAAAACUGGGGUAUGGACACGCAACACAUGUACAGCUGUAUAAAAACACCAGCUGAAACAAACCAGCUUUCAGAUUAAGAGCCACACACAAAUAAUCAUGGUGCUUAAUCUUGAACUGGGAAUGGGAAUUCAAUCACCCCACCCAAGCCCGUUAUGAACUGGGACCAGACCCUCUUCACGUUUUCAUCCCAGGAAUUAAUGGACUGGUGCCAUUCCCUUUCCCUAAACUCAGGGGGUUUUUCAUAGGGAAUUUGCCUCUUCUUCUAGAAAAACAGCACUGCCUAAACUUGUUAGAGUGGCAACAGUGAGGUCCCUUCCAUUAGGUCCUAGUCUAAUCAAACCAGGUCCUAGAGAUUGUAGGAGUCACAGUCCCUUUCACACAUUCAGCUGAAAGUGCAUACAUAGGAAAGUGGGGUGGUGUUCAUCCCAGGUGCACCCCCCAUGCAUGCCACAAGGGGAAGGUGAGAAGGAGCCUGCAAGCAAAUAAACUCUACAGAUGAAUCCUUUGUUCACGUGAUUAUGGAAACUGCCUGUUAGAGGGACCACAGUCGCAUGGACAAAGUGUGCCACUUAUAUGCAUGUUGGAAUAUGGAGCAGGCACAGGUCUUGCAAACACAAUUGUAAAUCUCCCUGCAGUGCUCCCUCCAGGAAUUGGUAUUAGGGAAAUGCCUGGAUUUUAGCAGUUGUGAAGGCUGCAAUGACAAUAUGCCCUUGUGGACUCACGCUAUAUAGCGAGUAUCACAAUAUUAAAAAGUUUCAAAAUCAUGACCAUUUUGUUGAAGCUAGCUCCAUUUACUUCCUUCCUGUUAAUGAACUUUCUCAAAAUGCAGUGCGUGCCUUUUCAGGCACUUAGUAUCAUAGAAUUGUAGUGUUAGAAAGGGACCACAAGGGUCAUCUAGUCCAACCCCCCUGGAAUUGCAAGAAUCACAGCUAAAGAAUCCCUGUCAGAUGGCCAUUCAGCCUCUGCCUGAAAAUCUCCAGGAAGGGAGAGGCCACCACCUUCCGAGGGAGUCUAUAUGUCUGUAUGUCCAUCAUUGUCAUUUUUAAGGCUGGUGUUUGGGAGAACUUGGAUCCAAAAGGUGGCAAACUCUUCCUAAAUGUGGGACAAUAGACAGGGAAAAUGUGACCCUAAGAAAAUAGCCCAUCACAGGCAAAGUGGUCAUCCAAAUUGGUCCGCAGCUAAACUGCAGGCUGCAGAAUUUCUCUUGUGGGAUUCCACAGCCUCUGCCGCCUGUUACAUGCGAGGUUUCGUUUGAAAAAGCCACAGCUGGACAUCUUCUGAGUACUGUCAUUAGUCUUUUUAGAAUAAAAAAUAGAGCAAAAGCCGGAAGCCUUUCCCAUUAGCCAUGAUAAACAAGAGUUAAUCCAUAGCAACACCGAAGGACAUGUCUAGUUUGCAGGUUGUCAUAUUCAUUAAAAAAUAAAAAUAAAACCCAUUCUGGAAGGAAGGGGAGAAAGCAGUGGAACUAUGCAUCUCCUCCUAGUGCUUAGCAUCAGCACAAGGGAAAUCGCAAGCUCACUGAAUAGUACCGCUGUGACAGAAUGUCAUUUCAAUUGGCUUAUUAACCAUAUGAAAAAAUAUAUCACAACAGUGAGAAAACCUCUCAGUUAUCUAUAUCUUAUCCCUUAGGCUAUUGUCAUGAGCCAGUGGCAUACUAAGAAGAGAGUGCUAAUUCAGUUGUCAGCUGCCUUGCCUAUUAAACAGACGGCAUAAAAACACCAGCAACAAAACUGAAACAAGUAAUAAGGGUAAAGGAAAGGUCUAGCUAUCCUUGUCCACUUGUAUUUUUGAUUUAAACAAAUAUACCAUUUUUUCCUUGUCAUGUAUAAUUGCACCCGUACCAGCAGGUUGUUGUAUAAUGAAGCACUUACAGAGCUCGGAAGGCAUUUUUUUCAGUGGUGCAAUAUUAUAUGUAGAGUUCAUGACCUACAAUGCAGCAUAAAGGGGAAGGAAAAUAAAAUAAAUGCACUGGAGUGAAAACAUGCUAUGGAUCUGAAAAGAGCAGGCCAAUAUGCAGAGAGCUAAGCAGUCAAAUGAGCCGCUGAAAACUACUGAAAGAUUGGAUGAGCAAGCAUGUGGUUUUCACAAGUGGCCCAUGACCUUGGCCUUAGCCAAGUCCCGGGGAGAGGCAGAGACAACGAGGAUAAAGUCACUCACAUUUGUUCUAGUUUAGAUGCCUCUUUUGGAAAGGGGUUCAUUCUGGGUCCCCUUUCUUUGCAUGAAUGUGUCUCAUUUUAUUUAAGCUGAGGAUACAAACAAGGUGCCUGGAGAAGUCUGUGUCUUGAUUUAUCUUCUCAACAUGUGUACUUAAUGGCUAGUGAAGGACAUUUUGAAGGUCUGGGGAAUCCUGGUCAUUAGCACAAGUUGCCCUUUUGAAAAAGCAGCUAUUAGGCCCCUCCUUAAGAAAUCAUUACUGGAUCCUGCUGUCCUGGGGAACUGUUUCCAGUUUCUUACUUACUUUUCCUGGGAAAGGUGUUUUAGAAAAUGGUGGCCAGUCAGCUCCAGUUACUCUUGUGCAAUACUGGUUGUCUGGAUCCGUUUAAGAAAUGGAAGAAUGGAAGAGCCCUACUAGGUCAGGUCAAUGCCCCUUCUGUUCCCAUGGUGCAAGGAGGGCCUGAGAGCAACAGCCCUCUCCCUACCAGCAACUCUGGUACCCAGAGGCACCCUGCCUAGCAUGGCCAUCAUGAUGGAUAGGCAUCCGGGUUGGCAGCCUUCAUCAUUAAGCUUCACUUGAUGAGCCUGAGUUCUUAGGAGAAGGGGAGAAGAACUUCCACUGUCCAUUUUCUUCACACCAUGCAUAUUUUGGCAUGCCUUUGCCAUGUCCUCCCCUUACUCUUUCCCUAAGCUAAAGAAGCACCAAGUGCUGUAACCUUUUCUCAGGGUGAGUUGCUUCAGGCCUUUGGCCAUUUUGGUUGCCCUUUACUGAACCCAGUAAUCAAGUUUAUAAGAAGGAGAGGCAAGUUCAGCCUCUUUGUGAGUUGGGCAAGGAGAUCAGGGAAGUCAGCAAUUUCCCAACAUCUGAUCAUAAAUAUCCUGUUAAAUGUGCUGAAAAAAGAAAAAAUAACUACAAAGUUUGAAAGCCAGCAGUAGCAUGGGUGCUGCAAAGUGUAUUGUACAGAGUGUCACAUGCCUACUGGACAGAAGUUGUGGGCGCUAGUGCAGGGAGUUCCUGGCUCUCAGGGAAUGUGUGAUGCCUUGAGGCCAAGAUAACUGACUUGCAGAAGCUGAGACAGGUGGCAAGGCUGGUGGACAAGUCUGUGGGGAUAUGAUAACAGCACCUUACUUGCAGUGCGGGAACUCCUCUUCUGUCUCAGAGCAUGAGGGUCUCAGGGAAGGAAGGAUUUCUCUCUGAGGAAGAGGGACAUUGGACAUUUUCCACCAGGUUUGUCUGCACCAAUGGGAUUUUUCCUUUCAAACAUGGAAGCUGUUUAUGCCAAGUUGAUCAAAACAUGGCUGAUUCAUUACAAGUCCUCUGGCACAUGGUGGCUUAUUUUAUUGUGUUAUGUGUUGGCUGCAGCAUCCAGCUGCCAAAUUCCCAUAUGCAAGACUGGUCCUUGGUAGUGUGGUGCAGACUCACUGAUUAUCCACUUAGAGCCAUCUUUAUGCAAACUGGUUGCCUAUUUGGAAGCUGCCUAGAAGCUGAAAAACUGCUGUGAAACUGAACUUUAAGCAGCUGUGAUCCAUCAGAGGUUCAGACAUGCUAGUCUUGUGAUGCUGCUGUACACACUCACCCUCAAAAACAAUUUGGGGAACUGAAGAUCUUCUUUGUCGGUCAGAAUCACAUGUAAAUAAAAGUUGUCACUGAAAUUUCACCUACAUUGAAAUUCAAAGUGAGCUUGGGGAUUGCUUUUGGGUGAAGCCAUGUGAAGAGUUUUGGGAGAAGUCAAAAGAAUUUCGGGUACACUGUCAACCUCAAGUGAAAUUCAAAGCAAAUUGGCAGGCUCCACCUCAUCUAAAACUUUUAAGGAAAUUGAAGGAAAACUGAAAGGCUUUUGAUAAAACUAGUGGUUUUGCUUUUAAAAGGUGGGGGUUGAGAUUUCACCAUCUCUGCUAUUAACUCUUGCAAGUGUGUUGGGGGAGUGGGGAGAAAAUCAAUUCAGUUCUCAGGCACAUAGCUGUCAACUUACAGAUUUGAAAAUAAGGGACCAGCAGCCUUGAAAAUAAGGGACCAGCAGCCAAAAUAAGGGACCUGCAGCCUCACCUGUUCCAGGCACUCCAGUCUUCCUGUCCUCCUGCAGUCUGGUCAAACUCAUGCUGGGUAGCUUCGAGAACACUGUCCAACCAACUUUGUAACCAGAGGUUCAACUGAAUAGAAUCUGAAUCACAUGCACCACAAGGCCUAUGCAGCCUCAACUUAAGAUGGCUCCCCGGCCUGGCUUUGCACUGCAAAGUUUGCAGCAGCACGUGCAACAAAAUGGCGUCCAGCAUUCAAAAAAACCCUCAGCUUGCAUUAACUAGCCACAUACAAGGCAUGCAAGCUCCACCCCCCAGUCGUUCUUAGACUUCUUAUUGGGUGAGCAACACAGCCAAGCAACACAGUUGGAGCCUCCCUCCUCCCUGGCUGGCAGGGAGGGAGGGAGAGGAGCUGCUUCCUUUGAAAUUUAAGGGACAUCAUUUAAGGGACAUUUAAGGGACAUCUAUCAAUAAGGGACAGCAGCGGGACAUGGCACUGGAAUAAGGGACUGUCCCUUCAAAUAAGGGACACUUGACAGCUAUGCUCAGGCAGCGCUACCUACAUAGUAUGGAAACUGAAACACACCCAUCCUUUGGCAUUCACAUUCUCCAGAUUUUACGAUGAAGUUCUCCGAACAAUGUGUGCUAAGAGACUGGUAGAAAACAAAAUUGACAGUUUUGCCCCUCUCUACCUGCCAGUGUGCCAAUACCCACCUGUCCUAAAAAGUUAAUUACUGCUUUACAGCAGCUCUGAUGGUGAUCAUCCCUUUGCAAGGGAGCAUGUUAAUAAGCCAUCUUCUUCCUAUAUCACCCUCCUGGAUCGUCACAUGUGUGGCAUGCCUAUCCUCCGUUCGCUCUUUUAUUUAAGUGUUUGUGCGUGGGGGAAAAGAAGCCUCUGCAAUGUGCUGAGGUAUGUUUUGUCAGACUUCAUCAGUUCCAUUGAGCUUUGUCAGCACCAUGCAUGUUAUGUCAAUGUGAUGAGUCCCAACUCAGCUUGUCAAUUGCACAGCUGUCUAGUCUUUUUCUCUCUCCCUGUUUAAAAUAAAAAUGCUACAUGGGAAAUAUGUUGAAAAAGCAUAUUACUCUUGAGUCAGAAGAACAAUUUGAUGGUAGAUGAAAUUAGUAAGCGUAAUGCUUCCUAUAGGAACCUGUCUAACCCAAAUGAACGGAGGGGCUAUUGGAGAAAUGAAAGAGAUGAAAGAAAAAUUAAAAAGAAGGGGAGAUAAUUAUAACGAAGCAAAAAUAAAGAACUGGGUAACAUAACCAAAUUUUUAUUCAGAAAACUAUAAGCCAAACUUAUAUCCUGGGUGGAAUGCAAAUCAGUCAGGAUACCUUAAGGAAGAAUCAGUUAUCAAAUGACUCUGGAGAGUUUUAUUAAUGGCUAUAAUUCUGUGCCCAUAAUAAUUGCUUACUUGAAAUCAAGUGUCUUUUGGGUUGCAGUAUCAGUGACUCUGGGAUGUACAUGUUCAAUCCUUCUUGCUUAGAGUGAGUGGAGAACUUUCCUAGCAGUGCCUUCCCCUUGACUCUGCCCCUUGUGUCUCCACCAGCAGGUACCUUAAGAAAUCAGUUCCAUGGAAGCAUAGACACCAGGUUCCGCCCAACUUUUAGGGUGGGUUGUUCACAUGUGACAUCAUGCACGCAAUGUGCAUGGGUGAUGUCACACAGCGGGAGUAGGCUGUGAGGCAAGGAAGCUCAACAGGGCCUGCCGCAGCCAUGGGGAGGCCCAAUGGGCAGACCUGGUGAGGCUCACCACUGCCAUGGGGAGGCCCAGUGGGGCCUGCCUUAGCUGUGGCAAGGCCCGGCAAGGUGCAGCCCCUCAAGAUUGGUAGGUCUCAGCCCCAUAGAGUUGGGGUCUAUGAGUGGAAGCGCCAUGCUGGGCUCCAGUUGCUGCUGCUGCAAGCCUGUUCAGCUCAGCUCAGGGUCUUCUUAAUUCAAGUGGACUCAAGUGCAGUUGGGUCUACCUCCUUUACAAAUCAUGGGGUUUUCUCCAGCUUAAUCUAUUCAGCCUUCUGCUGCCCAAGACAGACCAUUUUUAGUUCACAUAGUCUUGGCUACCAGUAGAACCCCAGCAGCUUAUGCUAGUGAGCCUAUGCUGUCUGUGGACCAACUGAAGAUUAGCUGUCAAAAAUAUUUUUUUUGUGCAAGCCUACAUGGUCCUCCAGGGACGCGGGUGGCACUAUGGUUUAAACCACAGAGCCUAGGGCUUGCUGAUGAGAAGGUCGGCGGUUCGAAUCCCCACAACGGGGUGAGCUCCCGUUUCUCAGUCCCAGCUCCUGCCAACCUAGCAGUUCGAAAGCACGUCAAAGUGAAAGUAAAUAAAUAGGUACCGCUCCAGCAGGAAGGUAAACGGCGUUUCUGUGAGCUGCUCUGGUUUCACCAGAAGCGGCUUAGUCAUGCUGGCCACAUGACCCGGAAAAACUGUCUGUGAAACUGUCUGUGGACAAACAUCGGCUCCCUCGGCCAGUAAAGCAAGAUGACCGCCGCAACCCCAGAGUCAUUUGCAACCGGACCUAAUGGUCAGGAGUCCCUUUACCUUUACCUUUUACAUGGUCCUCCCAGAGAAAAUCUGUUGAGGUCCUAUCUUUAGUCUGUUCUUGCCAAUCCACUGAAUUGCAAUUUUUAAAGCUAUAUCAUGCCUCUUUCUUCCACUGCCCAACUCUGUUCCAUCGGCAUUUUGUUGUUUGAAACAACCCUCACAGACCCUCCAAGUGUCCCUAUUUUCCAGGGACGUCCCUGAUAUAGAGAAGCUGUCCUGGUUUCUGAUUUGAUCCUGGAAUGUCCAACUUUUACUUAGGAUGUCCCUUUUUUCAUUGGAGAAAUGUUAGAGGGAAUGGAGUUAUCCAACCCCCGAGCCAUCUGAAGGCAAUCCUGUGUAGGGGAGGGUUUUUUUUUCAUGUUUAAUGUUUUAUUAUGUUUAUAUGUGUGUUGGAAGCUGCCCAGAGUGGCAGGGGCAGCCCAGUAAGAUGUGUGGGGUAUAAAUAGUAAAAUUAUCAUUAUGGAAUGGGAUGCCCCUAUUUUCAUUGGAGAAAUGUUGGAGGGUAUGCCCUCAGUUUACGGAAUCUACAUUCUUAGUUUCCCAUCUAGAAUACUUGGUAGAAAGUAAUAGAAGAUCAGCUGUCAAUGCAAAAACCUUUUCCCCAAGUACACUUGUUUCCCUCAAAUUUCUACAUUUUGAGGGUGACUUUAAAAAAUGAAAACAGAUCUGUAAAAUAUAAUAAACACCCUCCUGAAAAUUAAAAUGAGAGUUACAAGUAAAAAAUAUUGUAACCCCCUUUUAAAUUGCAGGAGAAAAAACUGAAAAUGCUUUUUAUCACCUUUAGUUUUAAGCAUAGAAUAAGUGGGACCUGCCUGCAUACUUGUCCUUUCAUAUAUUCUGAAAAUGCAUCUCCGUUGAAUUAUGCAUAGCAACCCAGACUGCAAUUCUAAAUGCAUUUGUGCAGAUGAAGCACCACUGAAUGGGAAGCUCAGUCAACGCUAGUGCGUUUAGGAUUGCACCCCCAGCCUAAUGCACAAAUGGGAAAGUAAUUCUGGAGAUUUCAAAUAAAUUAUGCUUGGACCAGUCAAUGAGCACAUUUUUUAAAAGCUGUUGAUGAUGUUCUUCAUAAUAGGAGAAAAACCUGAUGAUCCAAAUCCAAAGGGGGUGGGGAAUCAGAGUUUGUCCAUCAAAGAAGAUUAUGGCUUGCUUCAGAACAUUACAGAGCACUAAAAUCUAAAGUCAUUGCUUUCUUUUGAUUGAGCAACUGCUUUAAAUCAGUUCGGCGUGUAAUGCUAGCAGAAUUUAUGAUUCUGAAAGGGACAGGCACGCUAAAUGUUUUAAUGAAAACUGGGGGAACCAAGGGAUAUGCAUGUUUGAAAUACUGUGCUUCACUUUUUGAAAAAGAAUGUUUAAAAGUUACUUUGUUUGCUUCAUUUGGAUGACAUGGAUAUGUCAAAACUGGUUAACCCAGACUUACAAAACUGGGUUAUUUUUUUUAUUAAAAAAAAUAUUACAUCUAUAUGCCACCUUUUCUCCAAAGAGCUCAAGUUGGUGCACGUGGUUCUCCUCCUCUCCAUGUUAUCCUGAGAGCCAGUUUGGUGUAGUGGUUAAAAACAGUAGACUCGUAAUCUGGUGAACCUGGUUUGAUUCCCCGCUCCUCCACAUGCAGCUGCUGGGUGACCUUAGGCUAGUCACACUUCUCUGAAGUCUCUCAGCCUCAUUCACCUCACAGAGUGUUUGUUGUGGGGGAGGAAAGGAAAGAGAUUGUUAGCCGCUUUGAGACUCCUUAGGGUAGUGAUAAAGCGGGAUAUCAAAUCCAAACUCUUCUUCUUCUUCUUCACAGUGACCUUGGGAAUGAGGUUGAGAGACGGUGACUGGCCCAAGAUCACUCUCUGAGCUUCAUAGAAAAGUGGACAUUUGAACCCUGGUCUUCCAGGCCAGAGCCCAACACCCUAACCACUGCACCACUGUGAUUUCUGACCCACUCCAAUAGCCAC